rnacentral:rRNA from 1 species
AAUGGGCGCAAGCCUGAACCAGCCAUGCCGCGUGCAGGAAGACGGCCCUACGGGUUGUAAACUGCUUUUGUACCGGAAUAAACCCCCGUUCGUGUACGGGGCUGAAUGUACGGUAAGAAUAAGGAUCGGCUAACUCCGUGCCAGCAGCCGCGGUAAUACGGAGGAUCCAAGCGUUAUCCGGAUUUAUUGGGUUUAAAGGGUGCGUAGGCGGCCUAUUAAGUCAGGGGUGAAAGACGGUAGCUUAACUAUCGCAGUGCCCUUGAUACUGAUGGGCUUGAAUGUACUUGAGGUAGGCGGAAUGUGACAAGUAGCGGUGAAAUGCAUAGAUAUGUCACAGAACACCAAUUGCGAAGGCAGCUUACUAUGGUAUGAUUGACGCUGAGGCACGAAAGCGUGGGGAUCAAACAGGAUUAGAUACCCUGGUAGUCCACGCCCUAAACGAUGAACACUCGAUGUU